ACGAUGAAGAGUUUGAUCCUGGCUCAGGAUGAACGCUAGCGGCAGGCCUAACACAUGCAAGUCGAACGGUAACAUAGAGAAGCUUGCUUCUUUGAUGACGAGUGGCGCACGGGUGCGUAACGCGUAUACAAUCUACCUUUUACAGGGGGAUAGCCUUUAGAAAUGAAGAUUAAUACCCCAUAGUAUAUAUUAAUGGCAUCGUUAAUAUAUUAAAGUUUCGGCGGUAAAAGAUGAGUAUGCGUUCUAUUAGCUAGAUGGUGUGGUAACGGCACACCAUGGCAACGAUAGAU
rnacentral:rRNA from 1 species